CCUGUGUCACACGAUUUUAGUAAGUGGGUAUAUUAGUCUACGUCUCAAAUUCCAUUAUGAGAAAUGUUCCGUGCUAAUCUUUCAGCACUAGGGACAUCCUUUAAUAUACCUGGCACCUCUUUUCUUAUUGGUAAAUGGUGUUUCAGUUAUCUGCUGUUACGCGCAUCUACUUGAACAGGAAUGUUCACAGCACCACCUUAGUACAGAUAAAGGAUAACGAAAAAUCACAAAAAUGGAUCUUCCGGUCGCCAUUGUUCUAGUUCUCAGUUCCAAACUAAGAGCCGUUUCCAGAUUAAGAACACAAUAUAUUUGCAUAACUACUAUGAACGACCUUAUAUUGUAUUAAUAGACAUAAUUGAUUAAUUUUUCAAUGUUUUACGUCGAAGUGAACGUCAUGUAUCUACUUGUUAGUUCAGUCGUGUCACCGUAGAUAGGGAAUGGUAAGGUUUAUUAUUUUGGUUAUGCGAACUUUUGGAACGAAAAAUAUUUUGUAAAAACGCGCGCAUACAUUCACAAAAUUUUAAUAGGGCUAAAUACUUAAUAAUGACGUUUAAUUUCUUUUAUAAGUUGAAUAAAUCUUUGAUAAAAGUA